ensembl:lncRNA
AAGAACAACAUCAAAGCUUUGGUGGAGGAAGAGGCAGGAGGAGAAAGCAGCGGUGUACCGCCUCUAUCCCCUUCACUUCCUCCGAGGCCUUGCAUGAGUCCUUGAUUCCUGGAGCACGGGGCCUGUGUUGGGGAGGAGUGAGACCCUGGGAGAUAAGAGGUUUUGAAAGCCCAGGGAACGAGUUGUUCCAGGCCUCUCUCCCUCCCUCUCUCUACCCCUACCACCGCUGCUGCUGCUGCUGCUGACGUCCGAAGGGGCAGAUAGCAAAUCUGAUGUCUCAGGAGGAAGGUCUGUAUCCAGGGUAAUGGGAACUGAUUCCAGCCAAUCGCACUGUGAUUUAAGAUGGCACCACCGUGUUUGUGGCAUUUCUGUAGCUGUUUGGGUGAGUGUGUGAGUGUGUGUGGGAGAGAGAGAGAGAGUGUGUGUCACUGCAUGUCUACCUCUGAAGGGUUAUGUGUGUGUGUGUGUGUGUGUGUGUGUGUGUGUGUGUGUGUGUGUGUGUGUGUGUGUGAGAGAGAGAGAGAGUGUGUGUGUGUCACUGCAUGUCUACGUCUGUAGGUGUGUGUGUGUGUGUGUGUGUGUGUGUGUGAGAGAGAGAGAGAGAGAGAGACAAAGAGAGUGUAUGUGUGAGCAUGAAUCUAUUUAUGUGUGUGUGUGCUUUUGUUUGAGUAUGAAACAUACAACAUAUGGGUGAGGAUGAAAUCACAUAGGUUUUCAAUGGAUAUUCAGAUAUGGCAAUGCACAUUUGAAUGUGUGCGCACGCGUUGUUGACUGUGUUUGUGCAUAUACAAGGGUGAAAACUAAUUUCAAAAAUCCCUUCAAGUUCAUGUAUGAGAGUUUGAUCCUGUAUGUGUUUGUAUGCAUUUGUGUGCAUAGGUCUAAAACAUAGGUCUAAAACUGCCUGGAUCUGCAUCUGGAUGAUGUAAUGUAUAUAAUGGAUAUGUCAAGUCAUUUGUACGUUGCCACUGUCAGUGCUGUCUGUGUUGAUAUGUGUACAUCCAUGCUAAUAUGCCUGUAAGUGCCGUUAAGGUCUGUGUGCUUGACUGUGUGUCUUUGUCAGAGUACAUGUGUGUGUGUGUGUGUGUGUGUGCUUGACUCUGUGUGUCUUUGUGAGAGUACAUUUGUGUGUGUGUGUGUGUGUGUGUGUGUGUGUGUGUGUGUGUGUGUGUCUUUGUGAGAGUACAUGUGUGUAGGCCCCAUAGUCUGUGGCUUUAUCAGAGUGUUUGCAGUCUCUCUGUGUUGGCAUACAUGCUCAUUUGUGUGUCAAAAUAAGUCUGCCUGUGUGUGUGUGUGUGUGUGUGUGUGUGUGGGGGGGGGGGGGGGUCUAAGUUUGUGUGUGUGUGUGUAUGUUCAGCACGGCGUUGCUGUGCUCUGUGCAGGUGUGUGUGGGUGUGUAUGUGUGUGUGCGUGUGUGUGUGUGUGUUCAGCACGGCAUUGCUGUGCUCUGUGCAGGUGAAUGUGGGUGUGUGUGUCUGUCUCUGUGUGUGUGUGUGUGUGUGUGUGUGUGUGUGUGUGUGUGUGUGUGUGUGUGUGUGUGUGUGUGUGUGUGUGUGCUGUGCUCUGUGCAGGUGCGAGUGAUGGCCCUCAGCCUGAGGAGGCGGGCUGGGAGCUCGGAAGGAGUGAGAGAAAAACAGCUACUCUGUCUUCCCUAAAACAUCUUCAAGGUCUCUGGCGAGGGAUAAAUUCCCAAGGGGAGACAGUUCACCAGUAAGAGAUCUGCUUGCGCUCGACCGGUCUGUCUCCGGUGUGUUUAGACGGCAGGACGCUCAUUUCCUUGCUCUCACUCGCUGUUCCUUUUUCCUAUGCAUAUACCUCUUUGAGAUGUCGCUUUAAAGAGGCAUAGGGCAUGGGAAAAGGGGGCUGUUGAGGUAUUCCACUGGAAUCCAACCAACCAACAGACGAAGGCCACCGCUUUGUGUCUCUGCCUGAAUGGAGCCAUUGCUUCACCAUUGUCUCCUGCUGCUUUACCGUCUUCAACCACAAUGGAUGUGUUUGUAGGUGUGGAUGAGCGUGGGAUAAGUGAGCGAGAGAGCGCUCAGAGGUCCUGAUGAGUUGUCUUCUACAUUCAGAACAUUGCAUCUUUACCUGUUGUCUUCAGAGACGGGAGGAGGGAUGGGACAAAAAGGAGACAAUGAUAAGUGAACUGGGCUCUGUAAAGUGCCUUGAGACUAUUUUCUUGUUCUGGCACUAUAUAAAUAAAAUGGAAUUGAAUUGUGUUGAAUUGAACAACAUGUUUUCCUGCUGGUUUUAAUUAAAAAAAACUAUUUAAAGAAA